rnacentral:sRNA from 1 species
CAGGUUUUCCUUGAACUUCCUUCUUCCUUAACGCCUCCUCGCACGGUCCUCCUUUCCUUCCUCUCGUCUUCUUCUUCUCCUCGGUCCUCCGAAACUACUUCUCCAUCCUGCUUAUUGUUCUCUUCUUCUCUUAUCCUCCUUAUUGUUCUCCUGUUCCCCUUACAGUCGGUAAGCGGUUGAAGGAAAAGCACUGCGAGAAGUAGAUGAACAGGAGGCCAUGGGGAAACGACACAACCCCGCAUUUGGCGUAGCCAGUUGGCUCGACGACAGACGGUCGACUCGAAUGGCUGCAGCAACGGAGACAAUACUUUAGAGCUUACAACAGAAUAACGCAACCAAAGCCGAAGGCAAUUGGAGAGGAUAAAGAUAGCUCAAUCACGUAAUCGUACUAACGUUAUUGCAGGUCCUCCAGAACAACCAGCAUUAUGCAUGAGGAAUUUGCUAAGAACGAAGAGAUAAUCUGGAAGAAAGCGGGGUAACUAGGCUCAAAUGCUUAGGAUAGCAGCGAUGGUAAUAGGAUGGAAAGGAUUGAGGGUAAAGCGGCUUCGGAAUGGGAUAACAGGUCCUUUCUGGAAGGUGUGUGUUGGUGAGUGAAGGCGGUAUCCUUGUCGUAAAGGAGUCGAUAGGAGCGUCAUGGCCACUACACACCCUAGGUCGUGGAAGUCUGAAGAGUAGGGAUGAUAAAGGAGACCGAAGCGAAAUGUUGCUUAAAGGUGAAGUGACUCCUUUCGCGGAAGAAGUUGAUGGCUAUCAUUAUCACAGACGGAAGAUCCUGCAGCGUGAUGGUCAUUUUAUUCCUUCCCCUUAUAUCGACCCGAACCACCACUCAAAGCAUUCGCACUCAGGUGUCAGGGGACUAACCCUUUUAAAGUAUGGGGGAUAUGUAGUGCUACGACGGGUCGUUCGGUACAGGAGUUGGGAGAGAGAGACAAAGUGGAAGGAGCGGAGUAUAUAGCUAGUGUCACGGCGCUAUGCAUAGCGAGCCAGAAGGCUACACCCAGUACUACUAGGCAGACCUCACAUAGCGAUUCACCCUACAUAGCUACACCUAUACCUCGGUACCUACUAGUGUAUGCCAGCCUACUACACCUGCC